GAUGAACGCUGGCGGCGUGCUUAACACAUGCAAGUCGAACGAUUAAAGCCCCUUCGGGGGUGUAUAGAGUGGCGAACGGGUGAGUAACACGUGGGCAACCUGCCCUUCACUUCGGGAUAACUCAGGGAAACCUGAGCUAAUACCGGAUACUCCGGGAUGGUCGCAUGGCCGACCCGGGAAAGUUCCGGCGGUGAGGGAUGGGCCCGCGGCCCAUUAGCUUGUUGGUGAGGUAACGGCUCACCAAGGCGACGCUGGUUAGCCGAGCUGAGAGGCUGAUCGGCCACACUGGGACUGAGACACGGCCCAGACUCCUACGGGAGGCAGCAGUGGGGAAUCUUGCGCAAUGGGCGAAAGCCUGACGCAGCAACGCCGCGUGCGGGAUGAAGGCCUUCGGGUUGUAAACUCCUUUUCUCAGAGACGAAGUUCUGACGGUAUCUGAGGAAGAAGCAUCGGCUAACUCCGUGCCAGCCGCCGCGGUAACAC
rnacentral:rRNA from 1 species